UGAGUCCUCAGGCUUGGCUAGCAGCAGUCAGCUGUGGGAGUGCAGUGCACACGAGGUGGUCAUGGCGGGUCCACUGGCUUCAAGCAAAACCGUGGAUCUUGUCAGGAAAGUGCCCAGAGCAAUGAGGGAAUGGGAAGGGCGUCCUUCCCUCCCACAGAGAGAAGUUGAAAAUGGUGUUUUCAAGAGCUCUAAGUGUCGCACAACUCUGCGGUAGAACAAGGUCUUGCCUCCUUGUCCUGGGAAGCUCCUCCAGUCUCCCUGGAAUUCUGGUGCUCCAACUGCUGGAUGAGGUGGGGCUGGAGGUCCAUCCAGCUCUCCAGGCUGAGCUCCUGCAUCUCUUUCCUAUGGGGUGGGCAUUGCAAAGACCUCUUCACGUUUGUCUUUCCUGUGGAUGUUUCCACAAAAUUUACCUCCACUUUCUGCAAGACACAGCUACUGCCAUCAUCCAACCUGUGUGCCAUGACCAUCUUGCCACCCAGCCGAACUCCACCA
rnacentral:lncRNA from 1 species